AUUGAACGCUGGCGGCAUGCCUAACACAUGCAAGUCGAACGGCAGCACAGCAGUAGCAAUACUGUGGGUGGCGAGUGGCGGACGGGUGAGUAAUGCAUCGGGACCUGCCCAGACGUGGGGGAUAACGUAGGGAAACUUACGCUAAUACCGCAUACGUCCUACGGGAGAAAGCGGGGGAUCAGCAAUGACCUCGCGCGGUUGGAUGGACCGAUGUUCGAUAGCUUGUUGGUGGGGUAAUGGCCUACCAAGGCGACGAUCGAUAGCUGGUCUGAGAGGAUGAUCAGCCACACUGGGACUGAGACACGGCCCAGACUCCUACGGGAGCAGCAGUGGGAAUAUUGGACAAUGGGCGCAAGCCUGAUCCAGCAAUGCCGCGUGUGUGAAGAAGG
rnacentral:rRNA from 1 species